UACGUAGGGUGCAAGCGUUAAUCGGAAUUACUGGGCGUAAAGCGUGCGCAGGCGGUUCGCUAAGACAGAUGUGAAAUCCCCGGGCUUAACCUGGGAACUGCGCUUGUAACUGGCAAGCUAGAGUGUGGCAGAGGGGGGUGGAAUUCCACGUGUAGCAGUGAAAUGCGUAGAGAUGUGGAGGAACACCGAUGGCGAAGGCAGCCCCCUGGGCUAACACUGACGCUCAUGCACGAAAGCGUGGGGAGCAAACAGG
rnacentral:rRNA from 1 species